CCUACGGGAGGCAGCAGUGAGGAAUAUUGGUCAAUGGCCGAGAGGCUGAACCAGCCAAGUCGCGUGAGGGAAGACGGCCCUACGGGUUGUAAACCUCUUUUGUCGGGGAGCAAAGCGAACCACGUGUGGUUCAUUGAGAGUACCCGAAGAAAAAGCAUAGGCUAACUCCGUGCCAGCAGCGGCGGUAAUACGGAGGAGGCGAGCGUUAUCCGGAGUUAUUGGGGUUAAAGGGUGCGCAGGCGGAGGGGCAAGUCAGCGGUCAAAUUGCGGGGCUCAACCCCGUACUGCCGUUGAAACUGCAUCCCUUGAGUGCGCGAGAAGUAUGCGGAAUGCGUGGUGUAGCGGUGAAAUGCAUAGAUAUCACGCAGAACUCCGAUUGCGAAGGCAGCAUACCGGCGCGCAACUGACGCUCAUGCACGAAAGCGUGGGUAUCGAACAGGAUUAGAUACCCUUGUAGUC
rnacentral:rRNA from 1 species